rnacentral:rRNA from 1 species
UACGUAGGUGGCAAGCGUUGUCCGGAAUUAUUGGGCGUAAAGCGCGCGCAGGCGGUCCUUUAAGUCUGAUGUGAAAGCCCACGGCUCAACCGUGGAGGGUCAUUGGAAACUGGGGGACUUGAGUGCAGGAGAGAAGAGUGGAAUUCCACGUGUAGCGGUGAAAUGCGCAGAUAUCAGGAGGAACACCAAUGGCGAAGGCAGCUCGCUGGGACGGUAGCUGACGCUGAGGCGCGAAAGCGUGGGGAGCAAACGGG